AGAACAAAUCAUCACAACAUAUCAUUAAGAAUAAAGAUCUGGGGAAAACAACCUCAAGAGGAGCAGCCAGCCAGGAUAGAGAAUGGAUGAAAGUAGAGAAGGUCAGGGAAAACUUCCUGGAGGAGGUGGUAAUUGAAACAAGAAUCAUCAAUGCUUGCAACAAAGGCAAAGGAAGAGACAGACAUUUUACUAUGGUUACAAAGUGCAAAGCCCCUGAAUGAGAGGAGAGGAUUCUGAAAGUCCCAGCAAAUCGAUCCAUUUGGCAGAAUUGGAAAGGGCAGAUGAACAAGAGCAAGAAGAUAUAUAAAAUUAUUAAUACAGAAGAAAAAGAAGAAAGAAAAGGAGAAGGAGGAGGAAGAUGGGGAGGGACAGGAGAGACUCUCUGGAAGGCAGAAGGAGCCUGGACCAUUUUUCCACUAGAGGAGUCAAUAGGGCUUUGUGUCUUCAGGAUUCCUGUGCUCCCAGCAAGCAUUUCACUGGCUACUUCAGUUUCAAGAGAGUCUAGGAAAGGAAUCCUCACCUGCAUAGUCACACUCCUGAGAUGAAGAUCUGUUUCUGUGGAGGAGGGAAGCUUGGGUCGCUCAGAGACCAUCAGUGUGCCCUCACGCCUACUCCUCACAAGCUCCUGGAGACUGCAGUGCUGCUGUGACCUUCACACUGACGGUGCUCCAUCACCAAAGCACAUUUUCCACCUGUUAUUGCCAGACUGGUCUGUGAGUUAGUUACGCCCAGUCACGUUCCCAUUAUUCCUGCCUGGAAUGUUCUUCCCAGAGCCAUUGUUCAUUUUCCCUGCUCCUUACUCCUUCUUGGGGCAUAUAUGUUCCAUCGUUUAAAGCUCAAGCUCACAAGUGUGUCCUCCAACCAGCCAUUAGCCACCUGUUGCUUCCUGACCCACAUCGAGUGUUGAAUGUCCCCCUGGGGCCCCAUGUCUCACUUCUACUGUGAUACCUCUACCCUGAAUUGUGACAUGAUGCUUCAUUCAUCUCCUUCCAUUACUGAGCUGUAAGCUAAGUGUUGGGCACAUGCUAUUUGCCUUAGUGUCUCCAGACACUGUAGAAAUGCCUGGCACACAGCACACAAUGAAACCUGUGAACUUGAACAUAGUACUUGCCCUGAGUUGGCUGUAAUCUUGACAGUAAUAGCAGCUCAUCUCUCUUGAGUGUGGGAUCUAUGUAGAUCUAUCCUUAUAUGGUUUCAUUUAUUUCCUUCUAAGAUCUCUAUGAGAUGGGUAAUCUUUUCCCCAUUUUUCUCCCCACUACGGGCCAAUAGGACUUUGUGCCUACAGGAUUCCAGCUCUCUCAGAUGUUUUGUUUUUGCCCUCACCAACCACAGAUAGAAACAGAGAGGGAGAGAGAGAAGCAGAGAGAGAGGAGGUACCGCAGGGCUGCUUUACAGCUUGUAAAGCAUGAUGUUCCCAUGUGAUGUCAAAAGAGCUGAACCCAGGUCUUUGGGUAUGGUUUGAUGAGUGCUCUACCAGGUGGGCCAUAUUUCUUUCCCUCUUUCAAAUUAUUUAUCCAUAUUUUUAUUUUUCAUUUGUUUGAUUUAUUUAUUUGAUACAAAAAUCAAGAGGGGAGGAGGAUGAAGGGGGGGAGACAGAGAGACGCCAGCAGCACCUCUCUACCACAGGAAAUGCUUCCUCUCUGUUGAUGGGGACCAGGGGCUUGAACCCAGGUCCUAUUUCAUUGUCACAUGUAUACUCAACUGAGUGCCCCUUUUAUCCCUAUUUUUAAAAGAAGGAAG